GCCGCCGAGCACAUGGGCUCGCGGGCCGGGCGGACUCGGGGCGGCCUGGACCCGGACGGGCCGCGAGGGGUCGCGCGCAGGGACGGGCCCCGACACCCCCCGGGCCCCCGAGCGGAUUUCCACGCGGGGAGGAUGUUGGCAGCCCCGGCGACCUGCCGAGACACAGCGGGAUCCACCUUCCACCUGGACGCUCCCUGAAGACAAGGAUCCUGUCUUUCUCGAUUGACGUGAUUUCCAGCUCCCAGCAUUAAUUCCAGCCAACCCUUACUGAGCACGUGUCGAGUUCCCAGGUGCCGUGCAGGACUUCUGGAGCCUGGCUGAACCCGAAUGCCGGUAUUUCUGAAGGCCGGCUCUAACCAGCGUCCGUCAGCGCUGUGAGCAGGGCUCCCUUAACGGCGUGCAGGCCUGAUCUUUGGACCAGAAAGGAAUUAAAAAGUUGCCCUUUACCGAUGGCUGUGCCUUGUCAGUUGCCUGGAGCUGCACUCAAGGAUUUCCCGAGCCUUAUGGAUUUACAGUGAUAUUCAGCUGCCUGGGGGAUGACAGUGGAGGAAGCAUUCUCUGGAAUCAUGUGUACGCAGCACACGUUUGGAUGCUAAUGGCGGUUUUCAGGAAGGCCCUGGCUGAGCGCCUGGCUGAUCCCUGCACCUGGACACCUGUAGUGGACAGAGGACCGCAGCUUCCUGGGACGCCUGAGAUCUCUGCCCUUAUUUCCGCACGAGUGUUUGGUUGGGUUGCUGCCAGCCUCCCUGAGGGUUCCCUGUGAAACAAUCCUGUCAUACUUCGGAUUUUGGUGCCGUCAGUCUGAAAAGCAACAUAUCCAUUUGGUACUCUAGAGGGACUGUCCUUCCCUGAACUAAAGCUGGGCCAUUUGGGGAUUUGGAGAAUAAAGUUGCUUGUGACCUUGUUUAGAGCAAAGGACUGUCUUCCACAUCCUGACACCCCACCCGACACCCACCUGACACUCCUGUGGAUAUUGCAAGAGCAAAGGAAUGAACAAUUAAAAAGGAGGAAGCAGAAAAUAAGAGAGAGAGAACCAAUAAGAAGAAAGUUCUUAAAGACUUAGAGCAAAGAAUGAGUGAGCUGAACGUUUAUAAAGAGCACGCCCUUCCAUCCGUCAGAACUCUAGUAUUCUCUUAUUCCUGGAAAACUCCUCUUCAUCCUUCGGGACCUUGCAGCAGAGCCCGCUUCUCCGUGAGACUCUCCUCACCCCAGCAGCUGGAGCCUCCAUGUGGGAGCGCGGCCUCAGCAGGACACCGUCCGGGUCCAGAGAGCACUGCCGGCACUGGUCAGGUUUAUCUGUGUGUGUCCACCGAGCCCUCUGAGAACAGUGGCUGUGGUUCCAUCAUCUCUCUGUCCCCGGGGCCGCCCCCGUGCCGAGCACGCGUGGACGUCACCUUGGUGAGCAGAGUGGCUACAUGAGUGUGACUGCACGUGGGAUACCCUCAGGUCAGCAGAGGACUUGGGUCCCGCAUCCCUCAGCUCUGGGUUAGACGCUGGAAAGCCCUCCUGUCGCACCAGCUACAGACAAAGCCUGUGGCCCCGGGGACACGGUUUGACCCUCGUGCUUGGCAGAUUUGUGCCCACGUCGGAAGAGCCCAGCCUGAGACUUCGAGACUCAGGAAUCCUUUGUUUGCCUUUUCCCAGCUGGAUGACCUGGGAACCGUGUACACUGGGUCCCCUGUGGCCGAGGGUCUCUUCAUGGUGGUGAUGAGGCAUAGAGGUUGUCAGGCUGUGAUUUUAGCAGAGUCCUGAGCUCCUGUGGAGAUUUGCCUCUCUCCAGCCUUGGGCUAUCUGCAUUUUUGAACAUCUCAGGGCCCAGAAGGAAAAGAAGAAUGCUGACCAGCUCUAGGAAUGGCCUGAAUGAAGAGAGAUACACAGCUUUCAAAGGAACCCACAUGCCGGCUUCUUGCAAACUGGUUUGCCGAGCAGCCGAUCCAGCCCCGCCAAGGCAGGAGGAGAAGGACAUUUGGUCCUGUGACAGCCAUGGACAGCUGGCUCAUCCUGGAUGCUGGUCUCCCUGUGCAUCUCAUCCCUGGAAGGUGCUUUGGCCCCAGGCCUGGACCUGACAGCAGCGCCUUGCUGAUGAGAGCAACAGCUCAGCCUGGCUGCACUUUUGAUGGGCGGCCUCUCGCAGAGUCUCCCUCUUCCUUCUGGAGAUCACUGCAGGCCCCCCCCCCUACACUGCCCCGGAGGGCACCCCUUCCUGCCCCAGGGACUGUGACAUUUGGACCCAUGGUGUCCUAGCUCCCCCACUUAGUAGGUGUAGGUCCCUGACCCAUGUUCGGAAGCCAGAUCAGAUUUUGAUCCUGGCUCCAUUAUUGACUAGCAGUGGGAUGCUGGAUGAGACUCUGUGCCUUGGUUUCCUCCUUUCCAAACUGGAAUGCUGACAGUAGGGUCUUUCUGUGGUAGACGGAACUAUCAGUCCCAGUUCUUCCCACCUCCAUCAUCAAAUUAACACGUGCACACUGUGACCGUGGCCUCCAGGUGAGCAGGUGCACUCCUCCCCGCGGUGACGUCCAUCUCGGCCAUGCGACUUGUUUUGGUCCAUGGGGUGUUAACAGCAUGACGGGAGUGGAAGGCGCAAAUUGGACGAGAUUGGGCUGCUUUGCUUGCCUACCUUUUGUGGUGACAACAUGCCCUGAACAGCCUCCAGUCUGCAGAGGAGAAGAGACACGGAGCAGAUUCCGAAUUCACACCUCGUGUGGAGCUGAGCUUGGACAUGCCUUCCCGGUACCAGCUGGCCCCUAGCUGCUAGCAGACAAGUGAGUGAGAGCACGAUUCCUGGCAGUGGUGGCCUCAGUCUGCAAAGAGCCUGCCCAACACGUUGGAAACCUUCUCUUCUGCAGAUCAGCCUACAGAACGUAAUCCCAGGAGACCAGAAAACACUUGACAGAGGUAACACUGACCCAGAGAGAAUUGAAUCCUUAUGCCCAGUGACUAGAAGACACGUGAACCUGGAAAAAGGAGCCUAGAAGAUCGCCAUGUUUCCCCGACAUGGGAGAACACCCACCCCCGCCCGCCCCGUGCCCAUUACAGUGAUUUGGUCACUGCUGAGCUAUCUUCGUUUAAUGUGGUUUUGACAGAAUAGUUGGUCUGGAAGUUUUAUUUUCAAUUAAACUUCCUUGUUGAA